rnacentral:tRNA from 1 species
GGCGGAUGUAGCCAAGUGGUUUAAGGCGGG